rfam:Candidatus Gracilibacteria bacterium CG1_02_38_174 cg_0.2_sub10_scaffold_1247_c, whole genome shotgun sequence.
UGGGGAUUCGCCAAGUGGUAAGGCAGCGGACUUUGACUCCGCCAUUCGGGGGUUCGAAUCCCUCAUCCCCAA